GGCUUAGAAGCAGCCAUCCUUGAAAGAGUGCGUAAUAGCUCACUGGUCGAGUGGUUCUGCGCCGAUAAUGUAGCGGGGCUUAAGUACACCGCCGAAACCGCGGCAACACAUGUAAAGGUGUGUUGGGUAGGGGAGCGUCGUGCAUGUGUUGAAGCUACUUGGUGACAGGUGGUGGAGUGUGUGCGAGUGAGAAUGCAGGCAUGAGUAACGAUUGAUGUGUGAGAAACAUAUCCGCCGGAUGACUAAGGGUUCCUGGGUGAAGUUUGUCUUCCCAGGGUGAGUCGGGGCCUAAGGCGAGGCCGACAGGCGUAGUCGAUGGAUGACGGGUUGAUAUUCCCGUACCCGUGUGCGUGCGACAAGUGAUGAAUCUUAUGGUACUAACCACCCGCUUGUUUCUGCUGAUCUUUUUGGUUGGUGGUUGCAGGUGCGUGGGAUCUUCGUGGGUAGUAGUCAAGUGAUGGGGUGACGCAGAGUGGUAGCUAGGCUUCCUUAUUGGAUUGGAGUGCAAGCGUGUGGCCUGUGGGGUUGGGAAAUCCGCCCCACACAUGAGGUGAGGCGUGAUGCGGACACCAGUUGUGGUGGUAGUUAGUGUGCCUGUGCUGUCUAGAAAAGCCUCUAGCGAGUGUGUGCAUGGCCCGUACCGGAAACCGACACAGGUGGUCAGGUAGAGAAUACUAAGGCGUUCGGGUGAACUGUGGUUAAGGAACUCGGCAAAAUGCCCCCGUAACUUCGGGAGAAGGGGGACCAUUACUAGUUGCUGACAGCGUGAAAGCUGGUGGUGGUCGCAGAGGAGAGAGGGAAGCGACUGUUUAUUAAAAACACAGGUCCGUGCGAAAACGUGGAAGUUGAGGUAUACGGACUGACGCCUGCCCGGUGCUGGAAGGUUAAGAGGACCCGUGAGUGCAUCUUUGUGGUGUGCGAGGCGGAGAAUUGAAGCCCCAGUAAACGGCGGUGGUAACUAUAACCAUCCUAAGGUAGCGAAAUUCCUUGUCGGGUAAGUUCCGACCUGCACGAAUGGCGUAACGACUUCCCUGCUGUCUCAACCACAGGCCCGGUGAAAUUGCAGUACGAGUAAAGAUGCUCGUUUCGCGCGGCAGGACGAAAAGACCCCGGGACCUUUACUAUAGCUUGGUAUUGGUGUUUGGUCAUGCUUGUGUAGGAUAGGUGGGAGACUGUGAAACCAUAACGCUAGUUGUGGUGGAGUCGGUAAGUGAAAUACCACUCUGGUGUGAUUGGGUACCUGAACCUUGGCCCGUGAUCCGGGUUGGGGACAGUGCCUGGUGGGUAGUUUAACUGGGGCGGUUGCCUCCUAAAUGGUAACGGAGGCGCCCAAAGGUUUCCUCAGUCUGGUUGGCAAUCAGAUGGUGAGUGUAAGUGUAUAAGGGAGCUUGACUGUGACACUGACGGGUGGAGCAGGUGCGAAAGCAGGGACUAGUGAUCCGGCACCUACGUGUGGUUGUGGUGUCGCUCAACGGAUAAAAGGUACCCCGGGGAUAACAGGCUGAUCUUCCCCAAGAGUUCAUAUCGACGGGAUGGUUUGGCACCUCGAUGUCGGCUCGUCGCAUCCUGGGGCUGGAGUAGGUCCCAAGGGUUGGGCUGUUCGCCCAUUAAAGCGGCACGCGAGCUGGGUUUAGAACGUCGUGAGACAGUUCGGUCUCUAUCCGCCGCGCGCGU
rnacentral:rRNA from 1 species